AUUGAACGCUGGCGGCAUGCCUUACACAUGCAAGUCGAACGGCAGCAUGGAAGAGCUUGCUCUUCUGAUGGCGAGUGGCGAACGGGUGAGUAAAGCAUCGGAACGUACCGUGUAGUGGGGGAUAACGUAGCGAAAGUUACGCUAAUACCGCAUACGCACUGAGGUGGAAAGCAGGGGAUCGCAAGACCUUGCGCUAUACGAGCGGCCGAUGUCAGAUUAGCUAGUUGGUAGGGUAAAGGCCUACCAAGGCUACGAUCUGUAGUUGGUCUGAGAGGACGACCAGCCACACUGGGACUGAGACACGGCCCAGACUCCUACGGGAGGCAGCAGUGGGGAAUUUUGGACAAUGGGCGGCAAGACCUGAUCCAGCCAUGCCGCGUGAGUGAAGAAGG
rnacentral:rRNA from 1 species